UAUAUACCUAUUACUGUCAUUUGCCACGAAAUUAGAUCCAGUAACUUAUAUAACAAAUUAGCCCAGUCCUUUUCAUUAGCAAAGAUCUCACACUGUAAAUACAUUUACUUUCAGUAAAGAUUAUCAUCCUGUGCUUUACGAAAGUGCAAUAAAGCAAAAGAGGUAAAAAUGCUCUUGGGACUAGAGACAAUGUGGUUUUACCCGCUGCUGCGAAGUUCGGCUGCCCGUGAGCUGAAUCAAGUUCUUUGUUCGUUUCUUAUUAUCUGCCCCUUGUAUUCUUUCCUUUGGUCAUUUAUAUCUUUAAUUUUCUCGUUCUUUCGUUAAUUUUAACUUUAUUCUUUGCUUUGUUUGUGUUAUGUUGCAUGUAAUCAUCGGGGCAACACAAAUGUGAAAGCGAACUUGAUGGAGUUCGCUCGUGGCUAUACGGUUCACGGGCCAACUACCACCAGCAACGCCAUUAGACUAAGGCGGUGAAAGCGUCAUUUGAACGCCCAGUUUCCAGGAUAGGAUUCUGCUCGUUCACUUCUGGACUGCGCGUUCAGGUCACCCUCAAGUCACCCCAACUAUCACAGACCACCCCCCACCCCCCCACCCACAAAAAAAAAAAAGGCGCCAAGCAAGUCAAAAUGGAGGAUGGAGGCUCACAUUGGUGGCAGAUCUUUGAACGUGUAGGCUGAUUUUUCCAAAAACUGAGGAAAGCAAUAAAGACGCCACCUAUGUUGCCACAUGGAAUGUGCUCAACAGCAUGGUUGCAGAGCAGAGCUUCUAAUUCGGCAUGGAUAUUCUAAUAAAAAGACGCGAAUGUCUCCAGCAGGAAACGUCUCAGAACAUAGCGAUGGAUUGCCGGCUGGGAUGCAUGAGCUCUCCUGUAUAGUACUACGGGUAGUACCAACAGUCAGAGACAAGGUGCACCAACCACGUUUGCAAUGGGAGAAGUAGAGAGACGACACGAGGGAUUAAGGAGGCAUUUCUUUUGACUUCUUUGCGCCUGUAAGGAGAAAGAGAAAGAGAGAGAUAACAAAGAAUUUUCAGAUAUUUUUGUGGAUGGUUCUUCUGUUUAUUUUCAUUUGUCCUAUCACACCAAGAGAGAGAGAGAGAGAGAGCAAGUUUUCGGAGUAUCUUUCUGAACUAUUCUGUACUAUUUCAUUCAGUCUAUUAAUAUUAAGAGAGAGAGAGAGAAAUUAAUGAAUUUUCAGAGCACUUUUGUAGAAUUCGGCUGUUUUCACUUCAAUCUUUCUAUCAUACCAAGAGAGAGGGAGAACUAGCAUAUUUUUCUUUUCUUUUAGAAGGCUACAAUCUCAAUCCUUUACAUAACCACUGUCUUCUAAAUAACAAAGAACUUGUCUUUUAGUGGAUUUUGUAUAUAAUUUCUGUGAUUUGCUGAGCCUAAGAGCCAAUACAGUUUAACCAAAUAAGUAAGUGGCGGUGAUAGAGUGCUCUAUUGCUUACCACUCUUAAUAUUUAAGUUAUGAUAGAGUUCUAGACCUACCUACAGUAAGCUCUUUGACAAAUGGGGUAAAGUUCUAGUUAUACUUUUCAUAAACGAGGGUAAGUUUAGAUAAGGCUAAGAUAAUAGGUGCUUUUGUCACAGGGGGUACUGUAGGCACGAAAAGUAAUUGUUAGUAGGAGUUAAGUUGAUAAUAUCCACCCUUGUACGCUUCUGACUAUUUAUAUAUUCUUGCAAAAAGGAUAAUAGCUUGGACAUCAGAAGACAUAUACAAAUAUUAUAUACUUAAAAGCGGUCCAGAAUGAUAAUUGUUACUUAUUACUUUUUCCAUCGUCCAAACUUUACUACUUUAUUUUGAUAAUAUUAGACCAUUUCCCUUGAUAAAGCAAAUUAGUUAUAACCUCUGAACUGACUUAAAGAGUAUAUAUCAUUUCUAUAUGACACGCGUUUCUUCCGCGCUGGCUUGAUUUAGUUUGAGAAGAAAUAUGACGCUAACCACAUUCUUGUUUUUUCCUAAGCCAGUCCUUUCCCUUCUAGAUGAAAGGGCUUGUUGCUAUUAUAUAUAUAGAAAAAAAAUCAUAAAUAAUGUACUAUACGUCGGUAAGCUGGUAUAAUUGUCAGAUGGUGAUUCAAGUAUUGUCAUGAAAUACAAUUGGAUUAAAUGUAACGUUUA